CUUGGUAGAAAGUGUUAGGUUCGU
rnacentral:siRNA from 1 species